rnacentral:rRNA from 1 species
AGAGUUUGAUCCUGGCUCAGAACGAACGCUGGCGGCGUGGAUAAGACAUGCAAGUCGAACGGGAUAUUGUUUGUAGCAAUACAGGCGAUGUCCAGUGGCGCAAGGGUGUGUAACACGUGGGCAAUCUACCGGAAAGUGGGGAAUAGCUCGCCGAAAGGCGAAUUAAUACCGCAUAUGGCCAAGGAAGACAUCUUCCCGCAGCCAAAGCUGGGGCAACCUAGCGCUUACCGAUGAGCCCGCGGCCUAUCAGCUAGUUGGCGGGGUAAUGGCCCACCAAGGCUAUGACGGGUAGCUGGUCUGAGAGGACGACCAGUCACACUGGAACUGAGACACGGUCCAGACACCUACGGGUGGCAGCAGUCGAGAAUUUUUCUCAAUGGGGGAAACCCUGAAGGAGCGACGCCGCGUGGAGGAUGAAGGUCUUCGGAUUGUAAACUCCUGUCAUUCGAGAACAAGGUCUGCGUAGUAACUAAUGUCAGACUCGAUAGUAUCGAAAGAGGAAGGGACGGCUAACUCUGUGCCAGCAGCCGCGGUAAUACAGAGGUCCCGAGCGUUGUUCGGAUUCAUUGGGCGUAAAGGGUGCGUAGGCGGCAUGGCAAGUCGGGUGUGAAAUCCCGGGGCUCAACCCCGGAACUGCACUCGAUACUGCCGUGCUUGAGUGUUGGAGAGGAGACUGGAAUUUACGGUGUAGCAGUGAAAUGCGUAGAUAUCGUAAGGAAGACCGGUGGCGAAAGCUAGUCUCUGGACAACUACUGACGCUGAGGCACGAAGGCCAGGGGAGCAAACGGGAUUAGAUACCCUAGUAGUCC